UGAGUGGAAAAACAAACCUUAUCUAGUUAUCUUGUUGUAGGAUCAAAAAGACUUGAGAUUUCUUGAAACCUCUCUAUGUCCGUCUUCAAGCUAAUUAAUAUCCAAGAAAAUCACUCCUACGAAGGAGAAUGGCUCUACAUAGCAAAGAGAGGUUGCAAUUAUCCAGUAUAUGGCACACGUCCACUUAGGAUGAAAUCUGGACCCCACGUCGAACUUAUCCAUUUAUGUUUCGUGGAAAAAAACAAGGAUGAUCAUGCUGGGAUAUUAAAUUUGUACAGAGAAACAGGAUGUUAAUCGCUGAGCAAAAUUCCCUUAUCUCAGAUAAAAGAAAAACGAAAAUAUAUCUUUUGAAAUAAAUAUUGAGCCUUUUUUCUCUUAUUUUCUUUUCUUGUCGAUGAUGGUGCCUUGGCUGCACAGCCAGUGCCGUCUAGUGUAGUGUUAUAUAUAUAUAUGCACAUGCUUGAUGUUUUUAUGAUGCUGCUCUAGAUUUAUUCCGUCUUCUUUCUUGUUUUUUUCUCUGCGAAUGGUAUCUGUUUUUAUCAGCUUUUUGUGUUUCUUGGAAGGUGGUUGUUAGUGAAAUUGAUUAGUUAAUUAGCCAGAGAUAUAGCUACUUUUGUUAACAAGGUAUAGAGAAGGUUAUAAUGGACCGUCAGAAGGAAGGGUCCUCUUCUCUUUCUUCUUCUUCAUCAUUCACAGCUGAUCUUUUUGGCAUCAAGGAGUCACCCCCUUCUUCAUCAACUGGGAUUUUUGCUUCCAUCUUUCCACCUCCAUCCAGGGUUUUAGGAACGAAAUUCUCAAGCUCUGAGGUGAUAGGCUCUUGGCAAAGCAGCCCUCUGGAAAUCAAGGGUGGAACACCAAACAAGGAGCACCAGCAACCACUGGCGAGGCAGCAAGCUAUAACAUGCCUAACAAGGAAAAGAAUUCGAUUUUUAUGGAAGAACGAGCAGAGCCGUGUCAUCUAAGUUCAUCACUUUACUAUGGCGGGCAAGACAACUAUUCUCAGCCCCCAAGUAGCCAUAUUUCUGGAUCAUAUCCCAUGUUCAAGAGAGAUGGGGAAGAAGAUGAUCCUAAUGGAAGCAAUUCCAACGGUGCUUCUAGAGGAAAUUGGUGGCAAGGUAAAGUAGAUACUUAAGCUCCUGUUCUAGACUACAACACCAACUCCAACUCCAAGCUUCUUAUGUGCUUUCUGCAGGAAUUCAUAAAACCUAGGUGACAGUAAUGGAAGUCGAUGAAAAAUAAAUAAGCAGCUGAUGUGGUUAGAUCUUGUCAGCAAUUUGCAAUGCUUUUUCCAGUAAAGACAUUCAAGUUGCAUGAUUUUGAUAUAGUGCAGCCUCUAUGAAAGACAUGAAGAAAUUGUGCAACACCAAUACUCUUUCUGCUCUUUACUUGGCCGAUUUAUCUAGGCCGUUGAAUAUUGUUUUCAUUUUUCUUUUAAAGCAUGUAAGAAAUAUCAACAAAUAGAUGAAUUGUGAACCUCUUCGAUUAGAAAAGUCAACAUGGAUGCUUAAAGGUUCAAUCCCUAAAUUUUGUAAAUCUUUUCUAUCGUUUGUAGAAACAUGUGAAACUCGAAAAAAAUAGAUGAGCUUAUAAUUCUUUUCUGA